CGCUGGCGGCGUGCUUAACACAUGCAAGUCGAACGGGAGGAAAAGAGAAGCUUGCUUCUUUUUGAAUCUAGUGGCAAACGGGUGAGUAACACGUAAACAACCUGCCUUCAGGAUGGGGACAACAGACGGAAACGACUGCUAAUACCGAAUGUGUUCCGGAGACCGCAUGAUUUCCGGAAGAAAGGAUGGCCUCUAUUUAUAAGCUAUCGCCUGAAGAGGGGUUUGCGUCUGAUUAGGCAGUUGGUGAGGUAACGGCCCACCAAACCUACGAUCAGUAGCCGGUCUGAGAGGAUGAACGGCCACACUGGAACUGAGACACGGUCCAGACUCCUACGGGAGGCAGCAGUGGGGAAUCUUCCGCAAUGGACGAAAGUCUGACGGAGCAACGCCGCGUGAGUGAUGACGGCCUUCGGGUUGUAAAGCUCUGUGAUCGGGGACGAAUGGCUGGUAUGCUAAUACCAUAUCAGAGUGACGGUACCCGAAUAGCAAGCCACGGCUAACUACGUG
rnacentral:rRNA from 1 species